rnacentral:tRNA from 1 species
AAAAACUUAGGAUAACAUAAACCAAGAACCUUCAAAGUUCAGAAUAAG